rnacentral:rRNA from 1 species
UGGGGAAUAUUGCACAAUGGGCGAAAGCCUGAUGCAGCAACGCCGCGUGAGUGAUGAAGGCCUUCGGGUUGUAAAGCUCUGUCUUUUGGGACGAUAAUGACGGUACCAAAGGAGGAAGCCACGGCUAACUACGUGCCAGCAGCCGCGGUAAUACGUAGGUGGCAAGCGUUGUCCGGAUUUUACUGGGCGUAAAGGAUGCGUAGGCGGAUUUUUAAGUGAGAUGUGAAAUACCCGGGCUUAACUUGGGUGCUGCAUUUCAAACUGGGAAUCUAGAGUGCGGGAGAGGAGAAUGGAAUUCCUAGUGUAGCGGUGAAAUGCGUAGAGAUUAGGAAGAACACCAGUGGCGAAGGCGAUUCUCUGGA